UCAAGUCAAUAAGGAAAAAUGAGAAAGAAAACAAAAAGCAAGCAGACAAUACCACAUUCAGUCCCCACAGUCCUUUCUCUGAGUGCAGAUGGAUACUAUAUGCUGUUGUUGUUUUCUGCCUUUUGUUUUUGAAGAGGACCAAUGAUAUUACAGGAUGAUGUCUUGAUUCAUGCAUGAGUUGGAUUUAAGUGAGGGAGAGCUACACAAAGUCAUCAGUCUUACUCUCUCUUCCAGAGUCAUCAAAGUCCAAAGGCAGGAUAAAAGUCAGGAUCACUGACAAUGGCCCAGAUUGCAGUGGAUGAUCUUGAAAUCUUCAAUGUGUCACCAAGCUCUGAGCAAUGGUGGAAAUUGUCUAAGACUGGGGUUUUGCAAAAAAGAGAAAGACUGCAGGAGGACAGAGCCAAGAAGGUGGAGAAAAAGCAGUGACUUACCUGAUCCCUCCCCAAAUCCCCUCUGAAGAACUUUAAAUAAUGCCAUAAAACAAUUCCUGGAGCAGCAGAGCUCACAAAAGGACAGGGUGAAAUAAUUUUUCAGCAAGGGACAACUUAGAAAGUCAGCAGGAAAGUUCUGUCAAGCAGUCCAUCUCAGCCCAGUCCCAGGACACCGGGAGUGGUCCUUGGAAGCCAUCACCAGCAGAAGCAGCAGCAGCUUCCAGAGCUCUUAUACAGAAAGUAAAGAGGUUGCAAACUGGUCAGACUAUUGCAGAGGUCUCUUUGCUAGCACUGAGGCAGAACUCAUUUACAUUGUCUAUACUUGGAUCUAGGUUACAGUCCUGCAUGGCAGUCCCAGGGUGAGGAGGAGCAGUAGCACAUCACAGCUUGUAGCCCCAAAGGAGUACGAAGCUCCUCAUUGUUCCAGGCAGAAAAGAGUGUUUGUGGUCACCACACAGUAGUAAAUACCUCUCCUUCAUUCAUACUUUCCUGGAAGAACUGAAAACUUACAGGUCCCUAGAAGUAUCUAUGAAAACAAUUGCACGGAGCUCCUGAAGCUUGGGACAGAGCACUUGCCAUCCUGGAAGAAGAGCCCCAUUUUAACAAAGAAUUAAAAGUCAAGAAAUAGGUUGGGAAAAGGAGCAAACAAAGGAAAAAAUUCUGAUCGUAGAAAGUUACUAAAUGACAAGGAAGAUCAAAACACACACUCAGAAGAUAAAGUAAAAACUCCUAUACAUAAGGCCUCCAAAAAAUAUGAAUUGAUCUCAGACCAUGGAAGGAUUCAAAAAAGAAUUUUGAAAACAAAAUAAGAGAAGUGAAAGAAAAAUUGGGAAGAGAAAUGAGAGUGAUACAAGAAAAUUAUGGAAAAUGAAUCAAUAGUUUGGUAAGGGAAACACACACACACACACACACACACACACACACUUCUGAAAAAAAAUAGCACCUUAAAAACCAGACUUGUUCUGGUAAAGGGAAGCACAGAAAUCAAUGAGGAAAAUUAUCUUAAAAAGCAGAGUUGCCAGUGAAAAAAGAGGUACAAAAAUUCGCUGAAGAAAAAAAAAAAAAAAACAAUCUUAAAACGUUGAAUUGGCCAAAUGGAAAAGAAAGUACAAAAGCGCACUGAAGAAAAUAAUUCCUUAAAAGAUAGAAUGAGUAAAUGGAAGCUAAUGAGUUUUUGAGAAAUCAAGAAACAAGAAAACAAAAUCAAAAGAAUGAAAAAAAAAAAGACAAUGUGAAAUAUCUCAUUGGAAAAACAGCUGAUUUGGAAAAUAGAUCCAGGAGAUAUCAUUUGAGAAUUAUUGGACUACUGAAAGCAAUGAUAAAAAAAGAACCUUUCAAGAUAUUAUCAAGGAAAACUGAACUGAUAAUUUAGAAGCAGAGGAUAAAAUAGAAAUCAAAAGAAUCCAUUAAACAUUUCCUGAAAGAGAUUACUAAAUGAAAACUCCCAGGAAUAUUAUAACCAAAGUCCAGACCUCCAAGGACAAGGAGAAAAUAUUGUAAAACCUGCAAAGACUUACAUGGGCUGAUGCAAAGUGAAAUGUACAAUAUAAUUUUACAGAUGAGGAAACUGAGGCAGACAGAGUUACGUGACUUGCCCAGGACCAUACAGGUAGCAAUUUCUGAGACUGGCUUUGAACGGAGGAAGAUGGAGCCUUCCAGAAUCCAAGCCUUAUUUUCUGAGGUGCUUAAUAACUGUGGCCAUUGAGGAAGCAGAGAUUAUAACUCUUCUGGAAGCAGUUCCUAGGAAAGAGAGGAGCCUUUUGCUUCAGAGCACCCAGCAGCAAUCUGUCCUUCCUGUGUUAUCAGUCCACAGUGCUGAGAGCAAAUAAUAAAUGGGAUCGUCCCUGCACGGCAGUCUUGAGCACUUAUGAAAUAUAGCACCGUCUCCCUCUGGUGUAUUCUGUUUUUAACUGGGUAGAUCAGAAGGAAAAGAGGUGUGGAGGAGGAUGAAUGAGUAAGUGUCUCUGAUGGAGCAUCCUUUUCUUCUCACACAGUUACUUUAGGAGAUUGGACUCUAGUAUUUGAUCAUAGCAACUUGAUAGAGUGUCCUAGUAAAAUGCAUGGAAAGGUAUGUCCUGGAACCUAAGAGUGAGACGGAGAAUAUCUGAAAGGGCCAGGGUAAUGCUGAGUGGACUUAUUUCCAAUUGCCUGAAACUCUCUAAAUCAUUAUAUAGAUAUG